UACGGGGGGGAGCAAGCGUUUGUUCGGAUUUACUGGGCGUAAAGGGCGCGUAGGCGGUCGUGACAAGUCACUUGUGAAAUCUCCGGGCUUAACUCGGAAAGGUCAAGUGAUACUGUCGGACUAGAGUACAGAAGGGGCAACUGGAAUUCUCGGUGUAGCGUGAAUGACGUAGAUAUCGAGAGGAACACCUGCGGCGAAGGCGGGUUGCUGGGCUGAUACUGACGCUGAGGCGCGAAAGCUAGGGGAGCGAACGGG
rnacentral:rRNA from 1 species